CAAGAUUCCAGGGACGAUCCUAGAGAAGGUUCUAACCUGAAACAUCUACUGAGUGUGCUGAUCCCUCUGUCUCUGGUUGUCAGUCUGUGUCCACAAUCACAACACGUCUGCUGAGCUGAUCAUCACUGUAGCCAGCAGGUGGUGAGCUGAUGACCGUUCAUAAUGGAGGAAAUGAACAUUAAAUCAGCUGAUAAUAGAAAGGGACGAUGUGUGUCCCCUCAGUGUCCAGUCCUUGGUCCUGUCCUCUCAUAUCUUUCCAUGUUGUCCUGUAUCUGAUCCAAAGCUGGACAGCUGUCCUCCCUCCCAGCCUGUCUUCAGUCAGAGCCAGAGGGCUGGAGCUGCUCUCUUGUGUCCUGUCAGUGGUUGGACCUCAGCUGUCUGUCUCUUGUCCACCAGAGUCCAC